AGACUUCUGAAUUGGUGCCAAGAUUUCGUCAGACACUAGAUCAUCAGGACUGAUAAGACUCCCAAGAUAAAUGAAGCG
rfam:Schistosoma haematobium scaffold5142_3, whole genome shotgun sequence.